rnacentral:lncRNA from 1 species
CCCUGACUUCAGAGUCUGAAGCUCCUCACAAGCCAGACCUGCCUAGAAUCUGGGUGGAGAACAGUGAGGGAAGGGUACAUUUUGAGAUGACCCUGGGGUUCUAUGUACUUAGGAAACCAGGAGCAGGGGAGGACCGGGCACAUCAAAGAGAACAUGCUUCAGCCGCACAGUAGCCUGGAAACUCAGAGAAACAACAACCAGGGAACAGAGAGGAGUGUCCUCAAGAGGCUCAACUGAGAACUGAGAAGUUCCCAACUGCUGUGGACUUUCCUCUGUUCCUGCUGCCUUCCCAGGGUGAAUAAGGAGGAUUGGUAAUCAUCCACAUGGAAAGGGUAAUGUGUGUCUAACUGUAAGGCUUAUAGGUUUUAAAAAGAAGAAUAUAAAGUUAUGAAAUGAAAUGGGAG